rnacentral:rRNA from 1 species
UACGUAGGGCGCAAGCGUUAUCCGGAAUUAUUGGGCGUAAAGAGCUCGUAGGCGGUUUGUCGCGUCUGCCGUGAAAGUCCGGGGCUCAACUCCGGAUCUGCGGUGGGUACGGGCAGACUAGAGUGAUGUAGGGGAGACUGGAAUUCCUGGUGUAGCGGUGAAAUGCGCAGAUAUCAGGAGGAACACCGGUGGCGAAGGCGGAUCUCUGGGCCUUACCUGACGCUCAGGCACGAAAGCUAGGGGAGCGAACAGG